rnacentral:rRNA from 1 species
GGGGGCGCAUCAAGUCUGCUGUUAAAGGCUGGAGCUUAACUCCGGUAGAGCAGUGGAAACUGGUGCGCUAGAGGGCGACAGGGGUAGAGGGAAUUCCCAGUGUAGCGGUGAAAUGCGUAGAGAUUGGGAAGAACACCGGUGGCGAAAGCGCUCUACUGGGUCGCACCUGACCCUCAGGGACGAAAGCUAAGGUAGCGAAAGGGAUUAGAUACCCCUGUAGUCUUAGCCGUAAACGAUGGAUACUAGGCGUGGCUUGUAUCGACCCAAGCCGUGCCGAAGCUAACGCGUUAAGUAUCCCGCCUGGGGAGUACGCACGCAAGUGUGAAACUCAAAGGAAUUGACGGGGGCCCGCACAAGCGGUGGAGGAUGUGGUUUAAUUCGAUGCAACGCGAAGAACCUUACCAGGGCUUGACAUCCCGCGAAUCUCGGUGAAAGCCGAGAGUGCCUUCGGGAGCGCGGAGACAGGUGGUGCAUGGCUGUCGUCAGCUCGUGUCGUGAGAUGUUGGGUUAAGUCCCGCAACGAGCGCAACCCUCGUCCUUAGUUGCCAGCAUUGAGUUGGGCACUCUAGGGAGACUGCCGGUGACAAACCGGAAGAAGGUGAGGAUGACGUCAAGUCAGCAUGCCCCUUAUGCUCUGGGCAACACACGUCCUACAAUGGUCGGGACAAAGGGGAGCGAGCUCGCGAGAGUCAGCGAAUCCCAGCAA